rnacentral:rRNA from 1 species
AGAGUUUGAUCCUGGCUCAGGAUGAACGCUGGCGGCGUGCUAAUACAUGCAAGUCGAACGAGGUGCUUUUGUAGCAAUACGAGAGUAUCCUAGUGGCGAACGGGUGAGUAACGCGUUGGUGACCUACCCCAAAGUGUGGGAUAACAGUCCGAAAGGAUUGCUAAUACCGCAUGUGGUCUUCGGAUUUAGAAACUGAUGACUAAAGGAGCAAUUCGCUUUGGGAGGGACCUGCGUCCCAUCAGCUAGUUGGUGAGGUAAUGGCUCACCAAGGCUACGACGGGUAGGGGACCUGAGAGGGUGGCCCCCCACAAUGGAACUGAAACACGGUCCAUACACCUACGGGUGGCAGCAGUAGGGAAUAUUGCACAAUGGGCGAAAGCCUGAUGCAGCAACGCCGCGUGUGCGAUGAAGGCCUUCGGGUCGUAAAGCACUUUUCUGAGAGAUGAGAAAGGACAGUAUCUCAGGAAUAAGUCUCGGCUAACUACGUGCCAGCAGCCGCGGUAAAACGUAGGAGGCGAGCGUUAUCCGGAUUCACUGGGCGUAAAGCGCGUGCAGGUGGCUCGGUAAGUUGGGCGUGAAAUCUCCCGGCUCAACUGGGAGAGGUCGUUCAAUACUACCGAGCUAGAGAGCAGAAGAGGAAGAUGGAAUUCCCGGUGUAGUGGUGAAAUGCGUAGAUAUCGGGAGGAACACCAGUGGCGAAGGCGAUCUUCUGGUCUGUUUCUGACACUCAGACGCGACAGCUAGGGUAGUAAACGGGAUUAGAGACCCCGGUAAUCCUAGCCGUAAACGAUGUGAACUUGGCGUUGGUGGGUUAAACUCCAUCAGUGCCGAAGCAAACGCGAUAAGUUCACCGCCUGGGGACUACGGCCGCAAGGUUAAAACUCAAAGGAAUUGACGA